GAUGAACGCUGGCGGCGUGCCUAAUACAUGCAAGUCGAGCGAACAGACGAGGAGCUUGCUCCUCUGACGUUAGCGGCGGACGGGUGAGUAACACGUGGAUAACCUACCUAUAAGACUGGGAUAACUUCGGGAAACCGGAGCUAAUACCGGAUAAUAUAUUGAACCGCAUGGUUCAAUAGUGAAAGACGGUUUUGCUGUCACCUAUAGAUGUAUCCGCGCCGCAUUAGCUAGUUGGUAAGGUAACGGCUUACCAAGGCAACGAUGCGUAGCCGACCUGAGAGGGUGAUCGGCCACACUGGAACUGAGACACGGUCCAGACUCCUACGGGAGGCAGCAGUAGGGAAUCUUCCGCAAUGGGCGAAAGCCUGACGGGGCAACGCCGCGUGAGUGAUGAAGGUCUUCGGAUCGUAAAACUCUGUUAGUAGGGAAGAACAAAUGUGUAAGUAACUAUGCACGUCUUGACGGUACCUAAUCAGAAAGCCACGGCUAACUACGUG
rnacentral:rRNA from 1 species